GCGGGGGGCGCGCGGGGGGCUGUGGGGCUCGGCGCCCAGCUCCUCCGGCCCGCGGUACACGGCGUACACCUUCUGGUUGUCAAAAUCCAGCCGCGAGCGGGGGCUGAAAUCGCGCACGCACGACACGGGCAGCGCGUAGCAGACGUUGUCCUCCAGGAACCGCACAAAGGCGUACAUGGGGUAGAACACUGACUCCACUCCUAAGAUGGAUACGUUCACAAAGAUACUAAAAAUCAUUACCAUAAGGCACCAGUUCCAUUUCCCAAGAAUCACUAAAAACGGAUGCCAACAAGUAAAUGCAGACUCCAAGAAAUUCUACGUGUGGGUCCACAGAAUGGAUUCCGGAGAAAAAAUGGUAGGCAAUGUGCUCAGAGACACUGUGGACAACGGAAAAGCAGACUCAUGGUGAACCUACUCUGUGCCAUACUGUGCCUCCGACCCAAGUGAAAGCAGAGUCAGAGGUCCUCUUCUCUGACCCCGAGACCACAGCCCUGACCGUGAUAUAAGCCCAGAAACUCAAGAUAUUCCUGACUCAUAGACUGGCUAAUAAUGAUAAUUUAAAAAUACAGAUACCAGACUUAAAUAACAAAAUCAUGGUUGGAUCCCCUCUUUGACAUCCCUGCCAACUGGUUUUAUGACUUGAGUUCCAGUUUCUUUAGACCUAGGACCUGAUUCAGUUGAAUGGCCACUAUCUUCCCAGCUCUGUCCAGACCUGAUCUUUUUCUUGAGGACCAGGUACUGUGAUUCUGGGUACGACA